UGAGGUGAAACAGAAUAGGGAAUCCGGUGUGAAUCCGGAACUGUACCCGCAGCUGUAAGUUCCUGUAAAAGAAUUUUGUACUUCAAUGUCACUGGUUGAAACCGGGAAGGCGGCAAAAUUCGGAACAAGUCAGAAGACCUGCCAAAGCACGU
rnacentral:ncRNA from 1 species